rfam:Citrus sinensis cultivar Ridge Pineapple sweet orange scaffold00389_contig_17, whole genome shotgun sequence.
AUACCAUGAUGAGGACACCUUCUGAGCAAUUCCUUAAAUCUUUCCCAAGCCUCGUACGGAAUUUCAUCUUCAAAUUGGUGGAAGGAAGAAAUCUCAUUCCGCAACUU